GGCGGGACGGAAAACCCUGGCGGCGGGGGCGCCGGCGGGCAGUUCGGGCUCUGCAGUGACAACAGCUGAGAAAAAACCCGUGACGCCAGGACCACCGCUUAGGAAGUGGGAACUUUCGAAAGACCAGCCCUAUUUGUGAGAAGUAAACGUGCUGAGGUGGGAUGCGCAGGUCACGGUUCGUUACAAAGCAGCACUUUAACGGGGAGGCCCGCGGUGGACUUUGCUGCAGUGAUGCUGCAUGGAACUUGUCCUCAUGCUGCUGGCGCAUGACUAAUAAAUGUAUUUAAAGCUG
rnacentral:lncRNA from 1 species